rnacentral:rRNA from 1 species
GACGAACGCUGGCGGCGUGCUUAACACAUGCAAGUCGAGCGGUAAGGCCCUUUCGGGGGUACACGAGCGGCGAACGGGUGAGUAACACGUGGGUGACCUGCCCUCAGCUCUGGGAUAAGCCUGGGAAACCGGGUCUAAUACCGGAUAUGACUCCAUGACGCAUGUUGUGGGGUGGAAAGCCCUGUGCGGCUGAGGAUGGGCCCGCGGCCUAUCAGCUUGUUGGUGGGGUGAUGGCCUACCAAGGCGACGACGGGUAGCCGGCCUGAGAGGGCGACCGGCCACACUGGGACUGAGACACGGCCCAGACUCCUACGGGAGGCAGCAGUGGGGAAUCUUGCGCAAUGGGCGAAAGCCUGACGCAGCGACGCCGCGUGAGGGAUGACGGCCU